UUUACAAUGUUACUUGGCAAAAUGCUUUACGGCAGUGUCGCAAAUCAUAAUGUAACGUUACUCAUGGAAACUAGCUCACGGCCGGAAUUUUGUUUACACUCUUGGGGAGCCAACAGCUACGGGCAGCUGGGACAGGGACAUGUGGAGGACCUGUCAGAGCCCCGGCUCUCUGACACCACUGCUCUACAAAACAUGGCAAUACGGGCUCUCAUCGGCGGCGGGGGUCACUCCGUGGUUAUCACGGAGAAUGGAGAGGUGUUUGUGUGUGGACAGAAUCACAGAGGCCAGCUGGGACUUGGUCACAAUGUAGACAUCUCAACUCUUCAACUGUGCCCCAGCCUGACUCAGAGGGUCACAACAGUAGCCUGUGGUUGGGAUUUUACUCUUCUUCUCAGUGAUUGUGGUCGAGUACUGGCAUGUGGCUCCAAUGCAUUUGGACAACUAGGUGUUGGACAAACAGUCACACACUGUGCAGAUCUACUGGUUGUUGAGAGUCUGAAGGAGCCGGUGUUGAGUGUAGCAGCAGGACUCAGACAUUCACUAGCUGUUACUGUCUCAGGCUGCGUAUAUCAGUGGGGAAGUGGUCUUUUUAAUCACGCUAAGAGAGCACUAAGUCCUCGCCCUGUCCCAUCACACCUCAGCUCUACGGUACCCUCUCUCGUACCAGGUCUGGAUCAUAAGACUUCACAAAUGGUAACUGCAGGCUCAGCGCACUGUGUGUGCCUUACAGGAGACGGUGAUUUGUUUCUGUGGGGAAGCAACAAGCACGGCCAGCUGACCACCACACAGCCCUUCCUGUCCUCUCCCACUCUCGUGAAGCGCUCACUGCUGGGUGGAGAGAAAGUUAUCAGUGUGUGGAGCGGCUGGACGCACAUUGUUGCUCAAACAGAGAGUGGGAGAGUGUUCACAUGGGGCAGAGGAGAUUAUGGACAGCUGGGCCGACAAGCAUCAACCAGUCAGAACCCAGAGCUGCAACCGACUGCUCCUUCAGCUGACGGUGGAAACCAGGAGGCUUGCCUCCCUGCAGAGGUUAAUGUUCUCCGUGGAGCAACACAGAUCGCAUGCGGAUCUGAACAUAACCAUGCCAUUGUAGAAGUUAAGUGAUGUGAUGAGAAAGCACAACCAGUAAAUGGAGAACUCAUGUGAACCUCCUGCACCUCACUCUUGUGCCAUGCUGUCCUCCUUUCCUCCUGUCUGGAGCGCAGUGGCAGGUGCAAUGAAAUAGCAAAACAGGAUUGGAAGCAGAGACCUGAGUACUGCUAUUUCUGGUGCUGAAGGGGUUGUCUUCUCUCCUGGGGCUGGAACGAACAUGGAAUGUGUGGAGACGGUUCACAGAGCAACAUCUUUCAGCCACAGCUCGUUUGUGGUCUCACACCUCUUCUAAUUGGCUGUGGAGCCGGACACUCUAUGGCAGUGUGCGCUGCGACGACUGACUCAAGAAAAAACUCUGCAGUGACUCCACCUCAGUAACAUCGGAGCAGGAACAUUUAUUUAGCACAAGGCAAUCAGAGACUAAAACAAAACAUUUAAAUUACUAAAUUAACACAUUUCUGACUGAUUUAGGGUGCUUAUUGGUGCGUUGCAAAGCUCACGAGUAUUCUAAGUGCCUUUGAAUAUACUGUAACUUUCACCUUUUUAAUAGGCUACUUGAGCUCCUUGAAAAGAUAAGGCUUUAAACUGCUCAUCAUAAAUAGUGUGGUGGACCCAGGCUGAGUUAUGUUACAUGUGGACAGAGGCCAUCAUUUCUCUGACCAGCCCAUCACUUUGAUGGACAUGAUUGGGGCCGAUGACUUUGAAGGAAAUGACCAUGCCUGUGGCUCCUGGUCCACCUGCCAUGUUUGUCUUUCUGAAGAAAGCCAUUAAGAAUCAUGUGAGGGAUGGGCUAGACUGGUGCUAUAGCUCCAUCUUCCCAUGUCAGUGGUUUUAUUGCUGUGAUCCUGAGUGUCUGAAGGCAGUCAAUCUCUGCACUUCGUCCUGAAAAUCCCUUGGUCAUCUCAUGAUUUACCACUUAAACAGACAGUGAGUGCAGUAUUUUAUUCUUUGGCAACUCUCCAUCACUUAUUUAUAUUCUUGGCAGUCUGUCAUAUUCUUUGAUGUUCCUACUUUAUUAAUCCCUCUUGGAAGAAAUUUGUCCACUGCAUUUGACCCAACCUACAUAUUUAUGAGCUUUAGGCGGCCGCAGUGCAGCGUGCGGGGACCAACUGCAGGUCUGAAGCCAGUGCUAUGGUCAAAGGCAAUGGCAGGACUCAAUGGUUAAAAAAGUUUUUAUUUUAUCCUUAUGAUUUAUACAAAUUAUAAAUAUAAAAAAACAUAUCACUGAUUUACGAAUUAAUAAAAGUUGAAUUAAUGUGCUUAUAUCUGGAUUAGUUUGAAAAAUAAAUCAACACUCGUUGAAAAUGA